GGGCGCAAGCCUGACCGAGCGACGCCGCGUGCGGGAUGAAGGCCCUCGGGUUGUAAACCGCUGUCAGGGGGGAUGAAAUCAUCCGGGGUACUCCCCGGAUGUUGACAGAGCCCCAGAGGAAGCACGGGCUAAGUUCGUGCCAGCAGCCGCGGUAAUACGAACUGUGCGAACGUUAUUCGGAAUCACUGGGCUUAAAGGGUGCGUAGGCGGCCAUUUAAGUAGGGUGUGAAAUGCCCCGGCCCAACCGGGGAAUGGCGCUCUAAACUGAAUGGCUUGAGUGAGCUAGGGGUUUGCGGAACUUCCGGUGGAGCGGUGAAAUGUGUUGAUAUCGGAAGGAACACCGUUGGCGAAAGCGGCAAACUGGGGCUUAACUGACGCUGAGGCACGAAAGCCAGGGGAGCGAACGGGAUUAGAUACCCCGGUAGUCCUGGCUGUAAACGCUGAGUACUAGUUGGGAGGGGCUUCGGCCUUUCCGGACGCAGCGAAAGCAUUAAGUACUCCGCCUGGGGAGUAUGGUCGCAAGGCUG
rnacentral:rRNA from 1 species